rnacentral:lncRNA from 1 species
AUUUAAGAUCAUUAGUUUAAGUUGGCUUUUUGUUUUUUUGUGGUCAGUUUUCUGAAAAGUUACUGACAGUAUUGUAUUUUUUUCCUAUAGAAAUCAGUGAAUUUCCCUCUGAAUGUUGCAGUGUGAUGGCAGGGGGUACUCUCACCGGAUGGCAUGCUGAUGUUGCCACUGUUAUGUGGCGAAGAAUGCUAGGCAUUUUGGGAGAUGUCAAUGCUAUUAUGGAUCCUGAAAUACACGCUCAAGUUUUUGAUUACCUCUGUGAACUUUGGCAGAAUCUAGCCAAGAUUAGAGAUAACCUCGGCAUUUCAACUGAUAACCUGACCUCCCCUUCUCCACCAGUUUUGAUUCCUCCACUAAGAAUUCUUACACCUUGGCUUUUUAAGGCAACCAUGUUGACUGAUAAAUAUAAACAAGGUAAAUUACAUGCUUAUAAACUUAUUUGUAAUACAAUGAAAAGAAGACAAGAUGUAUCACCAAAUAGAGAUUUUCUAACACAUUUCUACAAUAUAAUGCAUUGUGGAUUACUUCAUAUCGAUCAGGAUAUUGUUAAUACAAUCAUCAAGCACUGCUCGCCUCAGUUCUUUUCACUUGGUUUGCCUGGUGCCACAAUGCUCAUUAUGGAUUUUAUUAUAGCAGCUGGUAGAGUGGCUUCUUCAGCUUUUCUCAAUGUAAGUAUUUAUUUCUUGUUCUUCAUAAUAAACUUUAGUUAACAAGGGCUCAAUUAGCAGAGCAACAAGGGAGGAACUACUGUGGAGAAAAAUAUAACAAGCUGAUGUUGUAUGUUCUGAGUAUAGUUGAAAUUGA